UACAGGGGGGGCAAGCGUUGUUCGGAAUUACUGGGCGUAAAGGGUUCGUAGGUGGCCAACUAAGUCAGACGUGAAAUCCCUCAGCUUAACUGGGGAACUGCCUCUGAUACUGGUUGGCUUGAGUGCAGGAGAGGAAUGCGGAAUUCCAGGUGUAGCGGUGAAAUGCGUAGAUAUCUGGAGGAACACCGGUGGCGAAGGCGGCAUUCUGGACUGUAACUGACACUGAGGAACGAAAGCCAGGGGAGCAAACGGA
rnacentral:rRNA from 1 species